GAGUACUCGUAGUUAGGCACAGAUGCAACAAUAGUCAAUUACGCCGCUGGUAUCACAACUUCAAAAAAGUCAGUUUAAUACUAAAACUAAUGACAUAUACGGAGUAUUAAACUGUCACAACUUGACUUAGACAUACAUAUAUGAUCAGUAUAAAUUAUGUUUCUAUACUAAUAACAUGUUGAUUAGGCAUGGCAGCUUGACACGUGGUCGUUGUUAGCAGUGGCGGCGUCAAGAAAUGAAGGCUAGGUAUUCAUCUAAUUUUUUUUUUCCUCUAAGUGUAGAAUAUGAAUCAAACAACAUACAAUUAACAAUAUAUGAACAAAACAACACUAGUAUAACGGCAAUUGUAAUAUUUUAAUGUAUUCGACCAUAACAAUAUGAAUACAUAAGUACCUUUUGAUUGAUAAAGUGAUGAUAUUCCUUUUACAAUAUAACUCUGCGGUCGUCUUUUUGGAAGAGAUUGAUAACAUCUUCAUCCUUUACUUGACUGAAAAAUUCUCUCUCAACAAAAAUGACGCUCUUUUUCACUUUUAUUUUCUAAACUUGAACUUAUGCUUCUUUGGUUGACAUGAGCCCAUCUCAACAUAUCUCCUUCUUAUUUUAUAUUGGUCAUUGACAACAUACACUGAGAUGGAAAUCCGCUUUCCAGGAUCAUGUUCGAGUGCCUCCAAAUCUGCUCGCAUCGGUUCACCAUCUUCAUCAAUAGUAUCAUCAUCUUCUAUAUUAGGUGUUAAAGUUUCUCCUCUAUUUUCCGGUUCUUGCCAUAACACCAAUUAAAAAUUGCUCUCAAAAUGAACAGGAGAAAUACAAGUACUAGAUGCAGCCAUUGUCUGAAUCGGUAUGGAUAUUUUCAUCGAUUUUCCUUGCCUUUCAAGCCUUUUCCCACAUUGCAAAUAUGGUACUGCUCUUCAGUCUCUUUUUCAUCUACGUUAGGAAAACAAGGCUGCAUCUGUUAAAUAGAUAAAAUGAACUUGCAUCUAGUAAAUUAACCAGACUACUCGCUAACUCGCACCUUCUACGUGGCAUGGGGGCGAAGAGGAGGGGAAGACUGAGGGGCGGGCGCUAUUGCGGUUAGCGCGGGGGGCGGCCGCCGUUGCGGCCAACGCAGCUGCUACUCCCUCCGACUCCAACCAGCAGGGCGGCUGCGAGGCAGGCAGCGGGGGCAGGGGGGCGCUGCGGUCAGCGCGGUUGCUACUCCCUCCGACUCCGACCAACGGGGCGGCUCCUAGGUGGGGCGGGGCGGCUGCGAGGCAGGCAGCGG
rnacentral:lncRNA from 1 species